CGGUAUUUCAUCUUGCAUCAUCGCUUGGUGGUGCAAUAUAUACUACAUCAUUAUCCUCGCAUGGGCGCUGUAUUAUCUUGUCAGUUCUUUCACCAGUGAAUUACCAUGGGUACACUGUGGCAAUAGUUGGAAUACGGAGUUUUGCGUAGAUUAUGAAUCUAAUUUUACCUGUGUAAAUGAGACUGUUUUCUCGAAUGACAGCCUGGUUGUACUUGAAGAGAUGGUGGUCGGUACAAAUUUUACAUGUGCUGAGAGGACGUCACCAGUCCAGGAAUUCUGGGAGCAUAAUGUACUUCAUUUAUCACCUGGUCUUGAUGAGAUGGGAUCAGUGGUUUGGCAUCUUGCUGUCUCUCUUCUAGUAGCUUGGAUUCUCUGUUAUUUCUGUAUCUGGAAAGGAGUCAAGUGGACAGGAAAGGUUGUCUAUUUUACUGCAACUUUCCCUUACGUGAUGCUGACUGUGUUGCUUAUACGAGGUGUGACUUUACCCGGGGCUGCUGAUGGCCUUUUGUUUUACGUCAAGCCCGAUCUAUCGCGCCUUACAGAUGGCCAGGUAUGGAUGGACAGUGGAACUCAGAUUUUCUACUCGUAUGCUGUUGGUUUAGGAGCUUGUAUAUCGCUCGGUAGUUAUAAUAAGUAUCAUCACAACGUAUACAGGGACAGUAUGAUUUUGGCUGGAGCAAACUCCUUCACGAGUUUAUACGGCGGAAUAGCAAUCUUCUCAGUUCUUGGAUACAUGUCUCAUGAACAGGGUGUUCCUAUUGACCAGGUGGCGUCUAAAGGUCCCGGUCUAGCUUUUAUAGCUUACCCCCGCGCUGUCGCAUUGAUGCCUCUUGCACCUUUAUGGGCUAUUCUGUUCUUUGUCAUGAUACUGAUGGUAGGAUUAGAUAGUCAAUUUGUUGCUGUUGAAGGUUUUGUAACUGCGCUAGGAGAUCUGUUCCCUACGUGGAUGCGUCGUCGGUAUCGUCGUGAACUCUUCGUGCUCGCUGUCUGCAUCGUUUCCUAUCUCAUAGGAUUAAUCAUGGUCAUGGAGGGCGGGAUGUAUGUCUUUCAAAUCUUUGAUACUUACGCGGUGAGUGGCAUCGCUCUACUCUGGAUUGCUUUCUUUGAAGGAAUAGCAGUAAGCUGGGUUUAUGGUGCCAAUCGAUUUUAUGACAACCUUGUCGAUAUGAUCGGUUAUCGACCGAUUCCAUGGUUCAAGUUCUGUUGGAUGAUAACCCUCCCCAUUAUGUCAGUGGUUAUCUGGAUCUUCAGCAUAGUGACUUGGGGUCCCAUGACGUAUGAUAAGUACGAGUAUCCAAUAUAUGCUGAAGCUAUAGGCUUCUUUAUGGCUCUCUCUUCUAUGGUGUGUAUUCCGAUUGUUAUGGUCUAUCAGAUAUUUACAGCUGAUGGUACUUUCUUAGAGGUAAGUGAAGUAGGCAGAGCAGGAUGCGUCCUAGAAAAAAAACCAAGGAUAAGUCUUUGUCAAAGAGCAUUGCUUUAAACAAUCUUUGGAUAUAUUGCCUGUUUGAGGUUUCAUUUUAAGGGUACAAAUUAUCUUUCUCGAAAUCACUUUUUUGUACCCUCUUUAAAAUUUUCUCUUUUACUCUCACAUUGAAGUCCGUAUAUAGACGUACGGAAAGGAUUCUGAAAAAAAAGUUAAAUGUUUCAUAUUAUUAUUAUCAUUACCAUUAUAAUAAGUUAAAGAAGAAACAUCCCUCCGAGUUGGUACUAAAUAGCUAUUUUUUUUAAAGAGUAGUCAGUCUCUCAAGCCGCUGGUGCUUUCUUCUUUGCUUUUUCAAUUUGCUUACAGACAUAUUAUUCAAAUUUAAAUCUUAAUUAAUUUUUUUGUUUUCAGAAUCCUGUCGGAUUUCAGAUAUUGAAGGAUUUCUUUUAGCGGGCGAAUUUAUUUUAUAUACUUUGUUUAUUUGUGUUAAACAUUUAUGAGCUGUAUGGUUUACUUGUUAGAUAAGAAUUAUCAUGCAGACUUACCUUUUAAAUAAUUUGAAAAGUAUCUACUAUGCAAAUGCUCCUUGGGAGUUUGACCACUUCAACUAUAUCAAGUCGUGGCUUUUGAGGCUUUCUAUCGCUGCUGGCAGCUAUUUGUCAGAUUUUGUUCCUUUUUGUACUGAGGGUGAAUAUCAUGCCUGUUUGCGCCGCAAAGAGAGGAGAAAAUGAGACUGUUUCGGCAAAAAUUGUAUUGUAAUACUAUGAAUAUAUUUUGUUUUAUAUUACUGCUACAUAUUGACGAUGUAUUGCAUAUAUUACUGCUAUUUAUGACCCUCCUAUGGUUAUGGUUUGCAAUUCUUUCUUAUUCUAAAGACUACAGGGUUAAUGCUCUUUUUGUAAUAAAUUUAUGAAUGUCUCUUAGUUGUAAUUUUGUACGGAAUACGUAUACAAAUUAAAUCAUGGCAACAUGAGCACAAUGAAGAGGUGUGUCAUAUAAAAAUCGAUACAGCCAUUCAAAGCAAUAUUACACUCUAUGUAAUCUUAUAAUCUCAGGUUUUUCCCUAUUUGGUCUUCUUCCUUUAUCUUCAUAAUUCUGAAAUAUGUAGUUGUAGUGUAAAUCAUAUAUAAAUCAAACUGAAAUUCAUAACAUGAGUUCAGUUCGUAAAUUUUGAAGAGAAUUUUAGACAUCAAUGGCUCGCCUACCUCUGUCUAUAUGAGAUUUCAAAGGAUAAAUUUUCAGUUUCUCCGUUCUCUGAAAAUAUUGCGUAGACUUACAAUUAACGUAGAAAUGAAUUAAGGACGAUAUUUCAUGGAAUUUCGUGUUAAUCGUGUUAUGGUACUAUUGGAAGCGUCGUGAUGUGAGCGGUUCGGACGCUCGCCUUGCAAUCAGAGGGUCGUGUGUUCGAACCCCACCGCGGUCUAGCGUCCUCUAGCAAGGCGUCAAUUCACACUUUUGCCACUCUCCACCCAGCUGUUAAAUGUGUGCCCGGCGGUAGGCUGUAAAGCCUGUAUAAUUAUGUAGUAUGCUUAUUAACUGAGUUUUUGAACUCUUAUUGGAAUGCUCCCCAGGGAGUGGAGAAAGUACUUUUUAAAAUUUUGUUUUCGAUUUCAGCAUUUCAACGGAUAUGAGAAAGUGCAUAUAUUGUGUGAGCGAAUGCCAUGAUCCGAUGACCGGGUAAUAAAUGCAAUGUAAAGCACUUAGAAACUAACUAUACAUGCGGUAUAAAUGUAAUUAUAUAGGUAUUUCUAAAUGUACAAAGUCAGUCAUAUCCGUUGAAAAACUAAAACUGAUAACAAAAUAUUAAAAAAAUUAAUGGUGAAUUAAUCAUGGACUAAAAAUAUUAUAUUACCAUGUACCUUCAGGCAGUUGAAAAAAAUAAUUCAGGUAUCAUUUUGUUUAUGUUUAUCAAAUUUAACAUCUCAAUUUAAUCGUAACGAUGAAUUUUGUUUUAGUAGUAUUUUCUGCAUUUGCUCUAUUAUAGAGUAAAAGGGAAUUUCUAAGAAUUUUAUUUAUUUAGAAUUUAGGAGAUUGUUUAGAGUGUGUAAUUUCAUUUGAUUGCUGCAAUUUUUCUACCUUUUAUACGAAAACGUUUUGUUGAAUGUUGGUGAUUCUUGACUUGGUAUAGACUCAACUUAAAAGAAAAUUCUUAUAGUUUGAAUGUAGUGAAAGUUCACCCCAACAUUGGGCCAAUUUUAACAUGUUUAGUUAAAAGCAGAAAAAUGAAGGGAAGAAACCUUCAGAUAAUGUGUAUAUGUCCACUAAUCAUGCUGAAGUUUCUUCAGCUAAGGUGUAUAUGUCCACCGUACACUGCAAAAAAGCCGGUGUUAAUUCAACACCGGCCUGGUAUCUAUAUCAGUCCACACCAGAGAAAUGUUGAAACAACACCAGUUAAGAAAUCAAACCGAUAUGGUUUGACACUAAUUGGUGUUAAAAAUGCCAAAUUGGUGUUAGCCUAAUGCCAAACCGGUGGUGUUUCAACACCUCUCUGGUGUGGACCGAUAUAGAUACCAGGUUGGUAUCAAAUUAACACCGGUGUUUUUGCAGUGUAAUCAUGCUGAAGUUUCUCAGCCAUGUGUAGUUGAGCAUGCGAGAGGCUGUUAUAAAUAUGAAGCGAACGGUGGUGGUGAUGAUGUAGAAAUAUAGUCUUAAAAGGUUUUUUUUUUGUUAAGUGUUUGUCGGAAUUGGUAUAUUAUCGAACCCAUAUUUAGUUUUGGAAAUCAUUUAAUCAUUUUUGCAGGAAAAAAACAGUGGCAGUAGGAUCCCAGUAUGAAGAUGAUUUCACUCUGUGGUCCCGGGCUGUGGUCACUUUACAGUUUACAGUGUGGGUAUUUACAAUGUAUGCACAUAGUGGUCUAUGUGAAGAUAUGAUAUAUACUCUUUAAGGGGAAUCCAACCCAAAUAAAUAGUUUAUCGGAAGAAGUAAAUCAGACAAAUUAUGGGUGAAAGUUUUGAUAAAAUCGGACAAACUAUAUGAGAAAGUUCUGAAUUGUUAAAAGUUGUAAAAAUUGGCAAUCGCUAUACCCAUAAAGACUUCAAAUUGGUCGCAUUUGUGAUGUCAUGGUGAUAUAAACUGUUUUUUUUUCAAAAUUUUUAUUUCAAAUUAUAUUUUUCUUUCAUGAAGAUAUAAAGCAUUAUUUGGAUUACUGCCCCAGGGGAAUAAGUACUUAAGAAAAAACCACAAAUCCUUUAUAAUUACGUACGGCCUAUGAGAAAGUUGUCCUUCUCACUUGUCAUAAUUUACUUACCCAAUUGAAAUUUAACCAAAGUUUGGGGUUCUCAAUUUUAAAUCAGUCAUAACUUUCUUAUUGCUUGUCCGAUUUCUUUCAAACUUUCACCAUACUGGUAAACUUAUUUUCUCCUUUCCCACACGACAUUUUAUGACCACGUUUGGAAUUCCCUUUAAAAUGUUUAAACAGCUUCAUUAUUUGACAUCACACCAUAUGAACACAUCUAUACAUUAUGGGUGUUCACAUUGUGUUCACAUGAUGGUAGACUCUGCGAAAAUAUUCAUAAUGAACAAUGUGAAGCUUAAUUCACUUUGUGGUUCACACUAUAGCUGUUCACACACUUUGGAGGGCACAGUGUGUGAAGCUGUUCUAUCCACGGUCUUCCCAUCAGGGAUUUUUCAUCUUAAAUAUAGUAUACGUGUUUAUGUGGGUAAGUUUUACAAUUAAAAUGUCAAGAAUAAUACAAAACA